ensembl:lncRNA
AUCAAGUCUCUGUGACGCCAGACACAUCCUCUCCGACUGAGGACAGACAAGGCAGCCCAGCUAGAAGAACAUAACCACGUACAGGUGACAGCUUUUGGGACAGCUCCUGCUCCAGUUGUUCAGGACCCUCAUGAAGACCAAGCUGCAGCUGCUACAUAUGUGUACGGAGGCCUGGGUCCAGCCCAUGUAUGUUCUUUGGUUGGUGGUUCAGUCUGUGAGAGCCCCAAGGGUCCAGGUUAGUUGACUCUGUUGGUCUUCCCGUGGCAUUCCUAUCCUCUCACAGGCCACAAUCCUUCCUCUUAUUCAGGAAGAUGGUUUUUUAGAGUGUGAUACAUGCUUUCAAAAUGGAGGUCAUGAUUACAGAGUAUCAGAUGUUGGUAGCCUUUGAACUGAAGUAACUCAGCUCAAAUCAAAACUUAGGUGAGUAGAAAACAUUUCAAAGCAUUCAAAUUUUUUUUUUGGGUUUCUUCUUGGGCUUUAAAUAAAUAUUCAAGUGUCAUAUAAGACACUUGACCUCAACCUUCCUAAUGCUGCAGCCCUUUAGUCCAGUUCUUCAGGCUGUGCAUGAUCCUCAACCACAAAAUCAUUUUUUUUUCAUUUCAAAACUGUAAUUUUGCUACUGCUGUAAAUUGUAAUGCAAAUUUCAGUGUUUUUAAACAGUCUUAAAGGGGUCAUGACCCAAAAGGUCAUGUAGAAUGUUAAACCUAAGGGAAACGGGAAUGAAGGGUUUUAAAAAUUUUUAUCCUUUCCAUGAAACACGGGAUGCUAAGUGAAUGUCUCUGCAGGAAUCGCUACUACAGACCAAGGAGGGAGGCUGUAUGAGAAAACCCUGAAGGACUGUGUUGUGUACAAUUCAAACAAAUGACAUCAGUAUACUCCCAGGCUUCCCAUGAACAAUCAACCCUCCAGCAGGAUUAAGAAUCUGCUGUUUCCACAACAGAGGCCCAAGACAGACAGGGGUUGACUUCAAAUGUAUUUUUGGGUGUGACCCUUGUGCAAAGGCAUGGACGCUGGUAAGAGUCACAGGACAGUGAGUGUCGGUGAAAUCACUAGCUUGCAUGUUUCACCAGCCAGCACUGGAAAAGGCAGAGACAUACAGCAAUGGAACACAGCUUCCGACCUAAAAUUCUACAGGCUGCAGGCCGGCAAGAAACCCACUUCAAGGCAGACGUGUACUAACCAUCUUCAGGAACAAAGAACGGCAGUCUCACAGCUGCAGCUGAGAACUGUCCCCACCCCCCAACGCUCAUCAAAUAACAUAGCCACGGAAAGGCAGCUUUUGUCCUUUUCCACGUCUCUCAAAGGCAUGUCUGCAGCAGCUACCUUAGACCAGUCGGUAGCACGGUUGCAAUUGGGGUGUGUGAGAAGCACAUGAUCUGAUGCUGGCUCAAGGAAUCACAGAAGAGGCGACUCAGUAUGCAGAGGUUAAAUGACAGGUUAUAGACUCAGAGCUGGUGGUGAAGUAGAGUAGGAUGAUGCUCUGGGAGUGGGGCAGGAGUGGGUGCUCUUUUGGUUGUGAAAGCAACAGAGAGUAUCUAGGAUCAUAAAGUUGACUACACUUCUUCAUACAAUUCUUUUAUACUCUACCCUUCAAGACCUGGAGCUCAGGAGACCUUCUCCUAGGUGUGGGCCAGACGUAGUAGAUUAUUUUUAACGAAUAGUAGGUAACAGAAGGGAUGCCGUGCAAUUUUAAAUUUAGGGUUUUUGCUCUGUUUUGUAUUGUUGUGUUUAUGAUUGUGGCUUCCGGUUUUGGCCCAUUGUCACCCCCAAUGUCUUACUGUUUUCUUCCUCAUCAUCUAAGAUCCAAUUUCAUAAAAUGUGGGUUGCCAGCCCUUAUAAGGCCACAUAAGUAAAUGCAGUAAAACUAGAAAGUCUGGGAACAGUAAAAGGUCUCUAAACACAUAACAACCAAAAACUAAUCCAAAACCAAAUGUAGAAGAAUCCCAAGUGUUUCCGAAGGCACUUGCUUGUGCCAUACCAUGUGACUUCACUGUAACUUUGACUCUGACUGCUUAACGUGUAGACUUUGACCACUGCAUGCCACCCAAUGCUAUUCCAACCAACCAACCCUGACUGAAACACCUCAGCUCAGGGUCAAGAUUAUUGCCUUUUAAACUGGAGUGCUUUUAUUGUACAUAUAAGGUCUUUCUACUCUUAUAGAAACAUAACAGUUUGCAUGACAGAAAACAAAGUCUUAAUACUUUUCUAACACUAUCCCCUAGCCUUUAGAUGUCAAUCUAGUAUACAUUUUAUUUUACUGUGUGGAAUAUCUGGUUUUAAGAAUUGCUGUUUAAGUUGCUGACUUGAGUUUCAUUUAUUUUUUUUAAAAGCCACUAAAUGAUUUUGGCUUGGAUUACAAAUUUCCAGCAAUUUCUGAAAUGGCCCUAAACAUACGUCUGCUAUUUUGUUCCAUUCAUGAAAGGCAAUAUUCUCAACAUUGAUUAUUAUAAACCCAAACUAUCAAUCAAAUGUGAAAAUCGCUGUAGAUAUUUCACGUUCUGCAGUAUUAAACAUUCAGCCAAGAUUUAAUUCUUACAUAAAAACAAGCAAGCGUAUCUAUAUCAAUAGUAUGAAAAAUUGCCAAUUUAUAAUAAGUCAUAAAAUUAUAUUUAUACCAAGGAAAUGUCUUACUGAUUUAUUGCCAUCGAGUGCUUAGUUUAUAUUGUUAUUUUAUAUACCCAUAGAAGCUAGAUUGUGUGAACAUAGUUCUCAGGCCAAAGAAAAGAGUCCUGAAUGGGAAUAAGUUGUAAGGGCCGGAAAUAUCAUGUGUGGAGUUCGACCUGCUGAGGCACAGUGGUUUCUGCUGAACAGUAGUGAGAGCUACAGGCUGCUAACACUCAUGUGAGGCCUAGAGGAAAACUGUCCCAAUGAAAACUUUAAGGGAGAUCCAUCACUGGGACCCAGCCUGGCUCAAAUCAAAGACGAACUCGAUUUCUCAAGCUCUAGAUUCUGAGCCAGAAUCAGCCAGCUGUGGCCUCCUCAGCACUUAGCCUACAGUGAUGCUGCUGUGCUGGUUUUAAGCCACUGUGUUUUAAAGUCAUUUGUUACAGAGCAACAGGCAAUUCUAUGCUCUUAGAAGGCAGAUGCGGUAAACAGGGGCUUCAAGGCAGGAGCUCGUGUGUCCUCGGUCGCUUCUCCCUGGCCCAUCCAGAAACCUCACAUGGGAGCAGUGUCUUUGGGGAUGUCCUGCCUUGACACACUACAUAGGGGAUGAUUGGGUUGUGAGAGCUGGACCUUUGUGAUUGCAUUAAUUUGCUUUGAGGAAAGGGGCUUUAGAGGGCUUCUGAAUUGUAUUCCUCCUACAUGAAGACACAACAAGAAGUCACCAGUUUGCAAACCAAAGCAAAGCCAUCGGCAGCAUGCUGAUUUUGAAUGCCAGAGCUCAUAAGCAAUACAUUUUUGUUGAGAAGCCAUUAGUUUGCCUGUGUUAUGCUAUAGCAGUGUCUGCUCUUCAGGACAGCUGACAAUCCUAUUACUGUCAUUGUGGAGAUCCUAUGGGCGGGUGUUCUGAUUGGCAGUACCUGGUCAACAAACAUGCCUGCCAAGGUAUCAAGUGUGCAUACCCCUGCUACAGCAAUACCCAUGCAGUGAUAGGAUCUUGGGCCCUACUCAGUUUACCUGCAAGAUGAGUUAGGUAAUCAUGAUUAGCACUAUGUAGAGAAGAUAAUCACUCGUUAAGCUUCCUGUGAUUUUCUGUCAUACAAAACCAUUGCUACUUUUGAGUGUGUACAUGGUGUGUGUGUGUGUGUGUGUGUGUGUGUGUGUGUGUGUGUGUGUGUACACAUGUGUGAUGUAUGUAGUGAUACUUUCACCUGUGUGUGCCUAGAAGUAGACUUUGGAUAUCUUUGUCUAUAUCUUUGUCUACUUACUUUAUUUUUUAAAUUUUUAUUUGGGUCAGUACAUGUAUAUAUAAACAUGACUUCUCCAUGGUACACAUGUGGAUAUCAGAAGAUGACACUGUAUUCCUCCUUGUCCCUUGGGGUCUCUAUGGAUGGAACCUGGGCCAUUAGAUAGUUGUGGAAGUCCUUUGAUUCUUUGACUCCUCUCAUGGACCAGUCACUUGAUCUUUUGAGUCAGGUGUUCUUACUCAGUCUGGAACUUGCUCUUUUCCGUAGACUGGGUUACAGUAAGCCCCAGGGCCUUGUAUCUCCCCAUCUCUAGUGCUGGGAGGAUGGGUACCGACUUUCUCCACCGUAGCACAUGGGCAUGAGGAAUCCUUGGGUCCUUAUGCUUGCAAGAAGCCCUUUAACCACCGAGUCUUCUCCCCAGUCCCAAGCCACAAUUGCUAUUCUAUAGAACCGUUACAUGACAGCGUACUAGGCAGCAACCGAGAACAAGAUCAGUUACCACUUUUAUUCUAGGGGGGAGGGGUUCUGUAACUAGACAAUAUGUAAUAACCACAAAGAUUCUCAUUUUUAUUCUACAAACGUUCUAAGCUCCUGAAUUUAAGUCACUGGAAUGCCAUAAUGGAACCCAUUAUUACAAGGGUGACUGUAUGCCAGAUACUUUACUGAACACUGAAUUGGAUCUAAACCCAAGAAGUAUAUAAUACUACUACUGCAGAGAUACAACUCUGUAGACCCACACACAUGUGCAUGCAUAGCAUAUACACACGCCAUUCGUACACACGUUAGGAGUCAGCAUCCUAACGUUCAGUUUUUCAAAUAUGUUCUUACUACAAGUAAUUGGUUUACAGAACAGUUAUACCUAUCCAUGAAAACAGAGCGAUCCUUUUGAAUAAAAUUUACAUCUGUGCACUUGCAUUUGAACAAGUGUUUGUUAGUUUGAGGCUGGUUAUAAUAUUCAAAGAGGAGAUCAUUAUCAGGCACCAAAGUCUACUGUUAGAUAUUGUAAUAAAAUACACCAUGACUUAAAACAGCAGAAGAGUCCCACUUUUAAAUACUCCCUGUUCAGUACCUGGUAUUUAUAUACUGGGAUAACACCUCAUGACAUAAAAAGAAUUGGAAAAAUUUAGUGCUAGAGAAACUCUGUCCAGCCUCACAGGUACUGAAGAUAAUAGGAACAUUAUUCUAGUGUUACAACAUUAAACACAGGAUGACUUCUCCAAGGCAAACACCCAUCAAGUCUUUCUGAAUGAAUGACUGAUGUUUGAGAACACCAUAGUAGAAUGUGGUUGAGGUUUGCUUUGCUGGUAUGUAUUGUAAUGGUAAGUGCAGGGCCCCAAGACCUGGUUACCCCACACACGAGCCAGUCAGAAUAUAGAUCCAAGUGAAGCAAUGGGACCUUGCCCCCAAGUUAUUUCUGAUUGGUGGAUAAAUAUCCUGACAGCCAAUAGCUGUGCAGAAGAGACAUACAUAGGCAGGGUUUAGGGUUUCCUGACUUGGGGUCUGAGGAGAACCAUGUCAGAAAGAAGAAGGUGAAGAGAGGAGAAAAUCAUUAUGGGUUAGGUGAGUCAUAAAAUAAUGGCCGUGUGUGUUGGCUAAUUGGAGUUAAGAGCAGCUCAGAUGAAACAUGACAAAUUAUAUAAUGGGACUGUUGGCUGGGAAACAGCUAUAGAAUAGAUAUCUGCCCAGCUCCUGUUUUGAUUGAGGCUAAUCAUAAAGGUUGUGUGUGUCUUUCAUCCAGGUCAAAUCUGGGGUAGAAACCCUGGGUUGGUAUUUUCUACAACAGAACAUGGUAGCGCAGAACACUACCUCCACUCCCGUUUCAAGCUGACAGUAAAUUUAAAGAGCUUAUUCUCUAUGAUCUGAGCUAUCUCUCUUGUAGAUUUGUGAUAAACCUACAUGUAAUAAUGUGCACCCACUGAAAACCACACAGAUUUCAUCAGGACCUUUGUGAAGGCCAUGGGAAGGGACAGACAGGCUUCCUGUCUGUCUAGAUCCUCUGGCCAUGUGCUGUUAGCCUCAUAACUACUUCCAUAGGAUCCAGUAGGUGAUCCUUCUUGAACAAUAACUUCUAGGACACUUAUGAUGUAGCUAAGAGAAGGGGAUUCUGAUAGCAAUAAUAAUGGUGUGCACUGGAGGGAUGUACACUGAAUAUUUUGGGCAUGUGCUAAGCUCCGCUGAAAUAUAUUUUAAAGAGUAAUUUGUGAUUCUUUGAUAUGCUUUAUCAUGAAGAUAAUGAUGACUCAGCCUUUUAAACAAUAUACAACGUAUAUAUAUGUGUGUGUGUGUGUGUGUGUGUGUGUGUGUGUGUGUGUGUGUGUGUGUGUGAGAGAGAGAGAGAGAGAGAGAGAGAGAGAGAGAGAGAGAAGCAAAUUACUGAGAUGAACAGAUAUAGUUGUAGAUGUUUUGAAUUUUUGGCUGUGUGAACCUCAAUAAGGAUACUUAUUUCUACAGGACAGGGCCCUGGGGAAAUGUCAGCAGGAAGCCCUAGGACCUUAGAUGACAGCAUCAAAGAUUUUUCAUUUCUCUCCUGCUUCACAGCAGAACCUCUGGGAUGCAUUCAUACUUUAAUCCAUGCAAAAUGUUGAAUUUACAGGAAAUCUGACAUUGGUAUAUUUUAUGUGGUUACUUCUAUUAAAACUACAGAAUAACAAGUUUCUCCAUUUCCCAUAGCAUAUGGCUUUCCUACAAUGUUCUUGCUUUUUUCAGUUUUGCACUUUCUUCCUCAAGCUCUGCAUUCCUGAAAACAGGUAAUGGGAUUUGAAGCAAACGCUACUCCAGGGUUCCCCAUCCUCAUCGCUUGUUGGCUGUUGACCUUGACACUUAUUCAAUUAGAACUGAUUCGUCAGGCAGCCAUUCUUGCCUGGCUGAAGUCACUGUGCUCACACCAGGGAGACGCUUAUUUCAUUACCAAAGAUUGUUCAAGGAACCUGGGGCCAACCAGAAAAGCAAUUUUGCAACGUUAGAACACAUAAAUUAGUGACAGGAUAGGGAGUGUGUGUGUGUGUGUGUGUGUGUGUGUGAGAGAGAGAGAGAGAGAGAGAGAGAGAGAGAGAGAGAGAGACUUAAAUAUUUCGUUUCACAUUUAAAUGGUGAAGAAAUUGUUGAGGGUGGUGAGUGGAGAAGGUCCUCAAAAACAUACUUUGGCAAGUCAAGUCACUUCUAAAGUUCCUUACUGUGAAGCCAUUUAAAGGCAGGUACCUCGAUAAUGUGGCUCAAGAUGUCUGGAGUUGUCACGCCAAUUCUCCAUCACCUGCAGGGUGUGGGUGACCAGAAAGCCAUGCCAAGUAUUGGGCAUACAUCACAUUUUGAGGGGGGCAAGACUUGUUCAGGUUGUCAAGCGUCUUUCACAAUUUAUGCCUACAGGGAUGCUCCCCCUUGGAAAAGGCCCAAAUAACUCAUGCUUUUUUUGGAAGUUGCUUGUGGCAGCCUCUCCUUCUGCUUGAGGGUCCCCCACAUUGAUGCGUAUUUUCAUACACCGCUCAUACAUUAAGAGAUUUACACCCCGCCAGGCAUUGACAGGGUGCUCUCUCCCUAAUCAGCUUCAAGGAGGGUAGCGGAGUGGGGGAUGGGAAGCACUGCUUUGCUUCUAGACCUCAUCCAAAUACAUUUCCAUGAAGGGUGAGACUUGCUAGGUGGGGAUGUAAAAAGUGUGGCUCGUGGAAGUGUUCCUAAUAAGGAACAGUUCUUGACCCUCUGAAGAGAUGUAAGCAGCCACGUCCCUAUACCAUUUGAAACUACAUCCAGCCACAACCGGCUAAUAGCAGUGAGAGACCAUAAUUCCAGCGCGGUGUAGAACUUGCAAAGUUUGUUUUAUUGUUCAAGAUGGAAUCAUAUUUCUCCUGCCUCCGUGAUUUAUGCCUAGAAUUAGAAAAAAAAAAUGAGACUAUCGGUGGUAUCUUUGUUCUUUGUUAUAGAGUAAGAGACCAUAAAUACUACUGGCAAGCUGUUUGCAUUAGCUAUUUCAUUUUACUAGCAUUGAAAAUUGCUUGCACCACAGGGGCUAGCAAAAACAUCAGUGUGGCAGGGCACUGCGAUGGUAUUCUUAUCAGAAAACAUACUGGGGUUUAACAGAAUGUCGGAUGUUGAUGGGAUAAUGACACAUUAGCCCAAUUAAAAGGAUAUGAAUGAUCUUAACGUCGUGUGUCAUUGGCUUAGAAACAUCCAGAAAGCUUUUCUUUUCAUUUGCUCAGAAUUUCUUCUCAAGCGUCGGGCUCCUAGGACAAAAACCUUUAUUUUUGUUAGAGAGCAGAGGGCACAAUUCCUUUGCAAAAUACCAUCUGGCUGCUGCUUCUCAUUUAGAUUGGGAUGUGGGUUUUCCUGAGAUGGGGAACAAAACAAAAGGAAGCAGAAGUGACCAUCCAGCUGCCUUAGACGCUUGGGACAUGAGAUGUUACAGAAUCAUCAAAGCAAGUGUCCUGGUCUAUAGCUAAUGAAGCAAGAGUUAACAUCCAUUUGUAUAUGGAAAGUUUUGGGGUUUUUUACAAACCCUCUUUGUGGUUAUAAAUAACACCCAGCAACUCUUCUGAGGGGUGGUAAUACUUAAUUAUCCUUGCUCUUAAAGUCUAAUAAAUGGCUGGAUGUUGACAAUACAAUUUGUCCCUACAAAACAACAUUAUUGCAAUUGCCACUGUCAUCAAAUAUAAAAACGAGGUUUGAUCUCAGGCGUCUACCCGAGAUUUACCACUUAUUCUUUACGACUGCCAUAAUUACUGCGGAAUUGUUGGCAAUCACUGUUAAUUUUAAGAACAGUCUGUCUCCUCAGCAGAGAGUUCUCACUGAGCAGAGGCUGUGACUAAUGGGGAAACGUCAUGACUGGUCAAAGUGCAGAGAGUCAGUGUUAGUGCUCAAGCCACAAAUGGGACAUAUAUGUCACUGACUCCCUCUCCUGCUCGGGCUCCGUUGGGGAGAACCAGAGCAAAGCAGUGUCUCCUGGCUAUGGUGGGACUUCUGUGUCCAUUAGCUCACAGUAGUUAUGGGUGCCUCAACCGGACUUGAUCAAGACUAAGCCGAUCAGAGUUCCAGGAUAGAGGAUUGAGGAGUUCACAAGCAGCCUGGGAGUUCUUACUUUACAGUGAGAUGCUAUAGACAGCUCAUGAUUUGGGGGUGUGUGGGGGGAGAGAGAAUCAGAUUUAUUUAAAGAUAUGGCCCCAUGUAGGUUAAUCAAGCUCCUGUGGAUGGUUGCACCCAGGAGUAUAUGAGCGGCAUGAAUUAGACUCAGUGGAAUUUUGAUGAAGGAGAAGAGGGAGAAGGAGAAAGAGGAGAAAGAGGAGGAAAAGGAGGAGGAGGAAUGAAGUCGAGAGGGUUUAGAAAAGUGGGGUUGGAUCUAGGAGACUUUAAGAGAAGAGAGGGUUUGAAUAUUACCAAAAUAUAUUUUAUUCUCAAAGACUUAAUAAAAUGCUACAGAAAAGAAUAAUCUGAUCUUUUUGAAUAAACAGUGCUGCGUUAUAAAAUACUGCUAAGGUUUGAAAGUGCGUAGAACUGAGUUUCUUGUACACUGGGACUAAAGGAGAAUGGGCUAGCAUCCCAUCUUACCUUCCAGGAAAGAGAAGCUUCUACAAACACAAAAGGCACUGGCUAAGGAGGGCUUAAUUGUUAAAAGUUUUAGGUUAGAGUUCAUGACCUAGGAAUAACACGUGGAGACUCGAGAUCAUGGAUAGUGUGCAAAAGGUCAAGGCUACCCUUGGCAUUCAAAUCACAUUCUAACAUUAAUAAUAGCUGUACUACUAAGGAUUGACUAUACCCUCCAGAUAGUCUCUGAAGUCCAGGAAUACUGAGGACAUCUGAUUAAAGUCAAUGCAUAAGCGUGUUAAAUAGAUCACAGGCUGGGGGGCAAGUAGAUAUGGGCUUUAUUCCUCCAGAGCCAAUUAUCGCUUUCAUAUAGAGAUUCUAGGAGCUAGGGAUGUGGCUCAGUGAGACGGCUAUCCCCUCCUAUGGAGGAGGCCUUGGGUUCAUUAUCUCACUGUAAAAACCAAACUGAUUAAAUAGUUACCUAUGGAUUGGAAUGGAAAUAUAGGUGUGGCUAUCUUUAAUGUUUGUCUUUAAGAAUUAGGGUUUCAUUUGGUUUGACUUAAAAGCCCACAGAGUAUCUUUAAAAAGAUUUAAGUAACAAAACUAGAUGUGUUUUACUGCGUGUAACUCUUGGGGGUUGGCCUGGUACUGGUGUGUAGCCAAAUGCCAAAUACGGAUCUUCACCGACCUUGGUCCCCAAUUUAAAACUAUUGGUUAAUUGGCUACAGCCAAUUGCUGAGGAAAAUGGAGGUUUCAGUUACCUGGCUGGGGGGGGGUCUCAGGUAGGAGCCAUGAAGAAGUAAAGAAAGGAGAGGAAGGAGAAAGAGGACAGAGAGGACAGGAGGGGUCUCUCCAUUAGACUUGAUGAACCAGUAGCAUGUGCUUGAGAGAAAUGUUUUCCCUUUUCCCCCAACCUUCACACACACACACACACCCCAGGACAGCCUGCUGGAGUAGAAGAAACUGAGAGAGACUCCAACAACAAGUACCUGGGGAGCCAGCUGGGGAACUAACUAGUCUAGCAUAUAGAAAAAUAGGUUAGGGGCUAAUCUCCCCAGUUAUGGUGCUAGAAAUGAAAUAAAGAGAUCCUAGCUUCAGUCUCAUUCAUUUGGAAGCUAGCCAGGGAUAUAAAUAAAUACUAUAAUUUACAUGUAACAUUACGUUAGGAGCUAAGGAGAUGAAUGUGUUUGCUGCACAUCUGAGUUCAGAUCUCUAGAACUCGUGGACAAAAGCUAGGCACGGUGUCGUGUGUCCUUAAUCUCAGCAGUACCCAGGCAGGGACUAGGGGAUGAUUUCUAGUGCUUGCUGCUCAACCAGACUGGUUGAGUUGGUGAGCUCGGGGUUCAGAGAGACCCCUUGUCUGAAAUAAGGGGAAGAAGGGUUGAAAAAAAAAAGCCCAAUAUUGACCUCUUUCCUCCACAUACAUGUGCACAUGACCCAUCAAAUACACAAGCACCGCACACAUACACCACACCCUUAACCAAAUAACAACAAACCCCAAACACUAAUGUAGCGACAGUGACUGUAAUUAGACAUUCCUCAUUUAUAGUAUUGUUUAAAUCCUAUUCCGAACCCUUCAACAUAGACACCGCAUCUUAGAUCUGGGAAUUUUUAAAGCGCUCAAAAUACUUUGAAUAAACAAGCAUUUUUCCCUUUAUGUUUUCUUAUUCUCUUUCUCCAGAGACAUUUAAGAGUCCAUGUCUAUAAGAUGAAAUGAAAGCAGUCAUCACAGCUAAUGCUAGGAAGAGUUUAUUUAUUACCACCGAUAAGCCAUAUAUAUAAUCAGCUAACCAGCCGUCAAUAUCUGCUAAUUACCAUAUGCAAACAAAAGAGAGUGCAUAUGGACUAAUAGCAAUGUUCCUUGCUCUUAAACAUCAUAUAGUAGUUCCAGAAAUAGGAAUAAUAUUUUAUAGGUGUCUAAUCUAAAGGUAGCAUAAAAUCGGGUAAUGAAAUUCGACCCUUUCAUGCUCUUCACUCUGAGCCUUUCUAUAGAUGGCUGUCACUCUUUCCUCUCUUAGACACAACUUGGGAUCUGAUAGGCCACGGCUCUGUCUCCCAAGGACAUUCAAGAGCUGAACUAAAGUCUCUCAGCUUCACACACUACCACUUGGUAAUUUCUCACCUACAGGACUGAAAUAGUCUCUUAAGUGUUUUCCUGCUUGGGCUUUUGUUUCCCUACAGUGAGUCUCAAAAGAGCAAUCAAGGAGAUAAAAGGUGUCUUUUAUCACAACAGGUUCUUCAAAACCCUCGAUGGCUUUCUUUUCAAUUAGAGUAAAAGCCAAUGCCUCAAUAAUGACCCACAAAACCUUUCACUGUUUGUCUCCUGUGAUGUCCCUGACCUCCCGUCCCAUUCUAAUUUCUUUGCUCCCUCUGUUCUAGAGCAGUGGCCUUAAAAUGCCAUCAAGGGCCCACUCCUAGCGCUGUGUUUUCUCUCCAGCUGAAAUGUCCUCCCCCGGGCUGCAUCUCCUGCCUCCUUCAUUGUUUUGCUUCAACACCACCUGUGUGUUUGCUUGCUUCAACGUGGUCUCUCCAAAGCACAUUUCCUCUUCUGCUAUAACUUAUUAUGUACUUAUGUAUUUUGUUCAUGACUUAGCUCCCUCUAGUAGAAUAGAAUUUUUUUUCCAUUUUAAACAUGUUGUAAGCAGAGCCAGGGGGAUGAUUCAGUUGGCAAAGGCUCUGGCUGCAUAAGCCUGGUGACUUACGUUCUAUCCACAGAAUCCACAUUAUGGGGUAAGAGGAGAGAACCACCCUGACAUGUUUGAAAUUACCCAUCCCACCCCAGUAAUCUCAUGCUAGGAGAAGGGAAGGGGGAGAGAAAGCUUGGUGCCAGCCAGAGGGGGAGCUUGCCUCCCAGUGAGAGACUUCGCACAUGAUGGAUAACUUCUUAGACCCUUGCUGGAAAGGCUGGAACUCCCACAAUGGUGGUAGAGUGGAGGACAUGACCAUGGCUUAACCAGCACUGCUUCAAUAUGCAUCUUCCUGGGCCUCUGUUUAAACUUCAGUUUCACUUAGGAACCCAGAAGAUGAUUUGAGGAAGUAAUAGGAUUCCCCCUCCCCCUUUCUUUCCAAUGUGGUCACAUUGAAGAAAUAUUUUCCUGGUUGUUUUGUUUACUACUAGUUUUGCUGUUUUAAUUUGGCUCCCAAGAAUAGUUUGCUGAGCAUGGUUUCUUGAGGGAUUCCAAGUUUGGUAACAUUACUCCUGGUGUUACUAAUUCUUUUUUUUUCUCUGCAUAAAAUCGAGUACAACCCAGGAUAGACUGGAGAUUAAAUGGGGAGAAUCAUGAUUCAAACCCAGAUCUGGUGGUUUGGGUGGCAUCUGCCCCCUUUGCCUUGUAUUGUACAGCCUGUUAGGUUCUUACCAAAAGAUUGCACAAAAACAAGACAUUGACAACAGGGGAAAUGAGAGUUGUUGGUCUAACUGAGCUUCAUUCAACCAAGGGAGCAUGUGCAGAAAAGCCUCCAUUUUGGGAACUUGGGAGAGGUAGAUGUACUGGCUGGUUCUGUGUGUCCACUUGACACAAGCUGGAGUCAUGACAGAGAAAGGAGCCUCCCUUGAGGAAACGCCUCCAUGAGAGCCAGCUGUUUAAGGCAUUUUCUCAAUUAGUGAUCAAGGGGGCAGGGCCCAGCCCAUUGCGGGUGGUGCCGUCCCUGGGCUGAUGGUCUUGGGUUCUAUAAGAGAGCAAGCUGAGCAAGCCAGGGGAAGCAAGCCAGUAAGUAACGGCCCUCCAUGGCCUCUGCAUCAGCUCCUGCUUCCUGACCUGCCUGAGUUCCAGUCCUGACUUCCUUUGGUGAUGAACAGCAAUGUGGAAGUGUAAGCUGAAUAAACCCUUUCCUCCCCGACUUCUUGGUCAUGAUGUUCUUGCCUUCUGGGAGCCAGGCUAUGGGGAUGGCUUGACUUGUCUCCACAUCCCUCUGUAUCUGUUCAGUAAACCACCUAUUUAUUGCCUUGCCUGGAGCAUCAACAAGCCCCUAUCCCGUCCACUGUGCGAUUCACCUGACAGAGGCAUGAGGACCUAGCAACUCAACGUCCUGCCCUCUAGACUCAUUUCUGAUAUAGAGAUACUUUCUUCAUAAAAAUAUGAAAGGGGACAGAUGGAUGGAAAGAGGAGUCUGUGAUUGAAAGCAUUUGCUGCUCUGGUACAGGACCUGGGCUGGGUUCCGAGGACCCACGUUUGUGGUUCGCGGCCAUCUGUAACUACAGUUCCAAAUGAAUCAAGUACAUCUCUGGCUUUGGGGGCACUCAAGGCACGUGGGCACUCAUACUUGUGGCUAAUACACUCACACAUAGACAAUAAAAAUGGAUCUCCAAAAACUAUGAAGGAGGAGGCAAGGAAGAGGUUUCCUGGUGUGUAAGGGCUCUUGCAACUCUUCCUGAGGACCUGGAUUUAGCUUCUCGGCACCCACAUAGUGGCUUACAAGCAGGCAUAUACUCAGUUCCAGGGGAUCUGAAACCUUCCUCUGACCCCCGUGGUGCCAGGUGUGCAUGCAGUGCAUAUAUUUAUAAAUAGGCAAAGUAAACCUACAGAUAAGAUACGAUAAAUCUAUUUUUUUUAAAAUAUGGAAUGAUUUAUUUCUCUCCGGCAAAUACUUAGAAAUGCCCAUCGCAUCUGAGGUCUCUUUUUAUGGUUCCUGACCUUUUCCUCCAUAAUUUUCCUACUAAACAACUUUGCUCGAGUUUCUUUCUUUCUUCCUUUUUUUUUUGUGGUAGAAAGAGGCAAAUUUCUACAGCAUCUACAUGGCAGAAAAGGUAAAACCAAAACAAAACAAGACAAAACAACACAGUUCAAAUUUCCAACCACACCCUAAGUUUUCAUUUGGUCCCCAAAAGAGUAGGAGGAAACAGGAGGGAGAGGGCGAGAAGCCAUGGCAGGUGACGUUAAGAUUCCGAUCUGUGUGUUUACAGUUGUAUUUUGCAGAGUGUGUCUACUUGGAUUCCUGGUCUCAAGGACUUUCAGCUGGGUCGGUCUACAGCAUUUGCUUCAUUCUUUCUAAGCCCUACCCCCAAGGAUAUCUCAACUCAUGUACAACUUGAAGAAGUUAUGGGGGAGUCAUUGCCCCAAUUCCCUGGACUUUUGGGGGGCUGAAAGAGGUUAUUCUAAAGUUGUUUUUAUGAGGAAUUUAAAGUUGGUUGUAAUUUAACAGGAGGAAUAAGUUGAUUGAGUUGUAUAGUCAUGAUUUCAUUUGGUAACUAUGCUAAAAUCAUAGCUUUGCUUUGGUAUAGAAUUUAUUUGUCAAAAAUGUUUAAAGUACAAGAUUUAGAGCCAGUCCUUUCUAUUGAUGUUGUUACAAACUUCUGAGUUGAUCACACCUGUAAGUUAAGGGCCAAAUAGCAAAUUCAUGGCUCUGACUUUGUGAGAGUGCUUUCACGAUAUUAUUAAGAUACAAAGACAACAGUCCAGAUUGUCUUAUAUAGAUAGAUGGUUUUCAAAAACGUCAGAAAUCCACAAGUUUUGAGAUUUAAAGUUAUUUAUCUUUAGUUGAAACAUAUCUGCUCCUAACGGUCCCCUUUGGCGGAUUUAACAAAGAACUUGAACAUCUCUACCCCUAGGUGAGACAAUACUUUGUGGCUAGGCAGCCACUGGACAAACUGCCUGUUUCAUCUGCAGACUAAUACUGUCCAGAAAAGGACACAUUAUGCGGAAUAGUUGACUGAUAAAUUCUGCCAAGACAGGGUGAUCAGCCCUUCAAAAUCUACAUUUCAAGAGUCUGUCAGUUGAUUUUGGGCCAGAAGGCUGAAGCACUCACAACAGGGGACUGUGCUAGUGGAGGUUUGUCUCUACGACCUCUCAGUUCUGGAAGCCGUGUUAGACUUCCUAUGUGUAUAUAUUUGGUCAUUCCCAGAUUUCUGAUGUGGUUGAAGACUGGUAGUCUGGUAGACAACCCAAGCUGUUUAGCAUUGAGAAGGAUAACAAAUUUGAAAGGGUGGUUUUUCAGAUGGCAUAUGAUCUCAAACCAGGAUAUAAAUCAGGUGUAAAAUUAGUCUUUUAGGAUAGAGGACAAGGUGCUUUAGUUAAUGGACAAAAUUGAUAUACUGGGUGUCAAGUGUAUUGUAUGUUUUAUAAAGUAUAAAAUGAUAAUAAUUGUACUCAAUUUAUAUAUAAGUGAAAAGGCCUUUUAACUGGCAAAAAUGGGGAAAUGUUGUGGUUUGCCCUGGAGUUAUCUGUAUUUUGAUGCUAAUUCCACUGCCCCAAGGACAGCUGCCUAGUCACAUAUUCAGGACUCAGUUGACUUCGCCAGAACCUUCUCCCCAUUGAAUUUGUAAAAUACAGGUGAGGAGCAGGUAUAGGAUAGAAGGAGGCCUGUCAUUGGAGGAGAAGGAAGGAUGGGUGGGAGAGAAGUUUGAAGGAGGAGGAGGAAACUGAAACAAAAAGAAGAAGAGACAGGAGGGAGUGAGAGAAGCCAUUGCAGGUGAUGUUAAGAUUCUGCUCUGUAUACUUACAGGUUGUUAUUAAUGUUCUUAAGGGAUGGAUGGUACCGGGCUUUGUAUGUUUAGGUGGGCAAUUAUAUCUUACCAUUUGGGUCAAAAGAAAAGAAUAAAGGGCACAGAUGAUGUGACUUUCACUGCCAUCACAUAUGUUGAGACCUUGGUGAAAUUCUGGCCAACUAGUCAUAGUUAAUUAUUCACUAAAAUGGAAUUAGUCUACAUUGCAGUUUUGAAAGUGCAUUCUAUUCCUUUCUAGCCUUCUUUCUGGGAUAAGUUUAAGGAAGAGAGGUGUACAGAGAGGUUGAGAAUGUUUCAUUUUCUUUUUGCAAAAAGACAAUGGAAAAAGCAGACGAGCUGUCCUUUGUGUCAGUAUAAAUGCAUGCUAACAGAAAAACACUGAGCAACUUGUAUGCUUUUCAGUGCUAGCCUUUUCUCAACGUGUUUUCAUGAUAUAUACCUAUAACACACACACACACAUUCAACUCAAAGAAUAGCUGUAGAAAAACCUUAUCUUUAUGAAAAAAAGAUACAUUAAUAACUAAGUACCUCUGUCUUCUGACUCAACCUCCCAUUAAGCUACUGAGCAGUGUAGGAGGAAAGUGAACCUCUGAAGAGGCAAGAGACUGCUGAUGUUAUUAUAUAUGGAGUUUUGCCAAGCAACAUAGUCUCUGAGAGUCCUGGUAACUUGUGCUGUGCAAGGGUUAAAGCUACUAAGCAAGGAGAAACUUAAAAAACCCAAGAUUGUAGCCAGAAAAGGUAGUAGCCUUUAAUGAGCAUUUACUUACAAAUGAAUAAAAGCAUGGAUAAAAGUUCCUUACCUUCAAAAGUUCUCAAUGAAAUCCUAGCUCCUAAAUUUCUAAUUAUUUUAUGAGUUUCUCUGCCUUCUCUACAGCCAGUAGGCAUGCGCAGACUGAGAAGCUAGCCACCAACUACUAUGUCUCCUACAACUUUGCAACUUACCAAAACCUGGAAUUAGGAGGAGACAAGACUCCAGGCAUACCUGUGAGAUGCUAUUUAGCUUCUGCCGCAUCGACAGGGAAUCAUUUUGACUAAGUUAAUUGAUGAGGCUAGAUCCAUCUUCGCUGUGGCUGGAGAGUUCCCUCAACAGGAUCCUGGACUUUAUAAGAAGCGAGCAGACUAUAAGCGCUCACCACUUUCUGCUCCUCGUUUGCAGGUGUGGUGUGGGCUGCCCCAUCAGCCUCCCGCGCCUUCAUGUCAUGGUACCCUGUAUCAUAGAACGUCGAUCAACCGUAGGGUAACAGCCUGUACUUCUGCUGAGUUGUGUGUCCGUGAGAGGACUCAGCACACCACAGACCUCAGAUGGUGUGCCCACCAAAAGGGAAGUUUAUCUAUUCCUGCUGCUAGACGAGAGAGCCCCAUCAGUAAUUUAGAGCCAGAGGCAUUGCAGUGAAUUGAACCAAUUGAGGAAUCCAGACAAUGGGUCCGUACAAUCUUAGCACAAAGGCAGUGACCCCACUGACUAGAAACCUUAAUAUCAAGCCUCACUGAAUGUGGACACAAGAUCUUGGGAUACCUAGGAUUGGGGGAAGUAUUUCACUGCUCAAACAAAUCUUCAACAGCUGCACGGAACUUUCACUUCCUCAAGCUCUCCCAUAGUUGUAUAUAGCAAUGGCAAAGGGUCUGAGAGGUAGACCACUCCCGAAGCAGCUAAGAAGGUACAGUAACUAACUAAUCCUAAAGAAAUGGAAAGACCAUAUCUGAUUCUGACAGCCAGAAGGAAGGCACUGAGAAUAUACUUGAAAAAUAAAUGGAUGAAAAUUCUUCCAAAUUUGGAAGUGGCUAUCAUGAAUGAUGAGACCCAAAUGGUCCAUACAUGUUGAAAUUAAAAGGUCUAUAAUUAAGAGGAGAUAUAAUUAAAUUUCUAACAAUGGGAGACAAGAAGAGUUAAGUAUAAAAAGAGGAAGAGAAAAGCAGUUUAUUUUAUAAAGGAAACUCAUGAUCAUUAGAGAAUUUCUUAGUACAGAUUUAACAGGAUGGUAGAAAGGGAUACAUAGAAAACACUGGAAGGGGGGAAAGUCCUAUGCUAAUGAAGAGUACUACAGCACAAAGCUGUCCUUCAGAAUGGACACGGCGUGGUACAUUCUCAGGACUUGGAAGGAGAAGAUAGAAUGGUCAGGAGUACACAGCCAUCCUUAGCUAUAGAUAAGUGUCAGUCUGGGUUACAAAGACAUUUCUUGAAACACAAACAAAUAAUACCAAUCACAAUAAUGAAGUAAAUAAAGGUUUUCCAAAAGGAAAGAAAGAAAACAGACACUAGAGAAGUUCCUUCCUUCUUUGUAAGACACAUGAGAUAGAACUACUCAAGAACUCAAAGGAAUGAUAAAUACCAAUGGAAAAAUGUAUGAGUGUGCAAAGGUCAUCAAUAAAAAAAUGAAAGUUAGAUCACUUUAAAUCAGUAGUUCUCAACUUUCUUAAUGCUGUGACCUUUUAAUCCAGUUCCUCAUGAUGGGGUCAUUCCAACCAUAAAAUAUUUUCUAUGCAGGUAUUUGAUGUGCAAUCACCAGAGGGGUUGCAGCAACCCACAGGCUGAGAACCAAUGCUUUAAAUGGUCAUAUAAAAGCUAAUAUGCAUAUAAAAGCAUGAUAAAUAAAAUAAUGUGGAGACAAGACUGUCAUUCAUUUAUUGUAUAACUACAAUGUGAGGACUGUAAUUUUCUUAGUUUUUUUUUUUCUUUUUGGUUUUCUUUUUUCCGUUGCUGUUACAAUGUAUCCUAACUCCUAGCAAACAAUUUUCUUAGUUGUUUUUUUCCUGUAGCUGUUACUAUGUAUCCUAGCAAAAGUAACUAAGGGAGAAAUGAUUUAUUUUAGCUCACAGCUCAAGGUACAGUCCAUCAUAGGACGGGAGUCCACCCAGUAUGUGUGAGAAGCCACUGAUCACAUCACAUCUGCAAUCAGAAAAUGAACAGGAAUGAAUGCAGGGUGAUGUUCAGUACCUUUUCUGUAGUCCAGGAUCCCUAUCCAAGGAAUGGUCCUACCCACAGCUAAAAAUGGGUCCAUUUGCACCAAUUUUUAUAAUUAAGACAUUUCCCAGAGGCUCAUCUCCCAGGCUGCUCUAGAUUCUGUCAAGCUGAAAAUCAGUACCAUCACCAUGAUCAAAGUUGUUGGUAUCAGUUUAAAAUUGGGAGAUAUACGUACAUACCAUAUGUACCACAUGGUCACCACAAAGAAAAUAUAUUAAAUACUCUAAAGAUUACAAGACAGAAAUCAAAGUACAUACCCACAACUGUGCACGUAACUACCAUGGGGAAAAAAAGAGAUAACUGCAAAUAGUUAAGAGGUGAUUUCAACGAAGCCUCCCUGAGAAACGUUACUUUAAAGGUAAACAUAGCAAAUCCUGUGAUAAAACAGUACAAACUAAAAAUAGAUUUUAAAAAGCAUCCAGUGAUUUGAUUGCAGAGACAUUUUUGACUUGGUCUUUAAGGACACAUAGAUCAAAAAUGAAGGGUGCUCAGGGAUAAAGAGGGAGCAGAGAUUUAGGGAAUGCCCAACCAACGACUGGCCCAACUUGAAACACAUCCCAUGUAAGAGAGCCAAUUGCUGACACUAUUAAUGAUCCUCUGCUAUGCUUGCAGACAGGAGCCUAGCAUAACUGUCUCCUGAGAGGCUUCGUCCAGCAGCUGAUGGAAACAGAUUCGGAGACCCACAGCCAAACACCAGGCUGUGCUUGGGAGUCUUGUGGAAGAGUAGGGGAUAGAAAUGAAUGAGUCAGAGGGGUUAAGGACACCACAACAAGACCUACAGAGUCAACUAGCCUGUGCCCAUGGAGGCUCACAGAGACCGAACCACCAAUCAAAGAACAUUCAGGGGUUGGAAUGUUCUAGGCCUCCUACACAUUUUUAGUAGAUGUAUAACUGGGUCAAAAUUUGGAGUGGAGCUGUCUCUGAUGCUAUUACCUGCCCUUGGACCCCCUUGCUUUACCUGUACUACCUAGCUGGCCCUCAGAGGGAGAGGACGUGCUUAGGGCUACUGUGACUGGAUGUCCCAGGGUGGAGUAGUAUCCAAGGGGGCUUCCCCUUCUUUGAGGAGAACGAAAGAAGGUAAUGGAGGGAGGGAUUUUAAGGGUGGAACUGGGAGGAGAGAAGGGCUGUGUGUGUGGGGGGGGGUUGAAGAGAGGGUGGAGGGAGAAAAAUAAAAAAAAAUUGAUAAAAAGAAAUCUUACAAGUGAAAUGAGUGUGAGAUUACUGUAGUAAGGCAAAAUUCAUUUCGAGUCACAAUUAAGAAAGUUCGUAUCAUGGUAAGGUGCUAAUUUAUCAAGAAGAGGUAAUAAUUAUAAAGUGCACGUAUCAAAUAUUGGGGUGCUGAGAUAGUAACAGACAGACAGAGCAGUAAUGGAACAUGAGGAAAUCUUCUACAUUAGGACCACCUAGCUUGGGCAGGUAGAUCAGAACAGACCGGAAACAAAAUGGAAGAUGACAUAUGGAGAACUUCCUUCAAUAGCACCAAUACAUCUCUCUCCUCACGUGCAUGAGGAACGUUCCCAGACUGGGUCCGUUGGGGCCGCAGAACAAAUUCUAAGGAAUUCACGGAGACUUGAAUAAUACCAAGUAACUUACGACUCCUAUGGAAAGACAGAGGAAGUCAGUAAAAUAUGAGAGAAAGGGUAUCGUUCUCAAGGAGUACUAGCAAAAUACCCCCAAACAACAAAUCAUGAGAAGGAAAACAAAAUCUGAAAGGGGAAAAAAAAGUCAGAAGCUCACAGAAAAUAGAAUUAAAACAAGAAACAAAGAAACAAAACAAAGAACAAAACGUAUGGUAUUUAGCAAAAGAAGUCUCCCCCCCAAAAAAAACCCCACAAAUUUUUAUAAAUAUACGUAUUUUAAAAAACAAACCAGCCUUAGAAACUAUGGAAAUAACAAAUAUACCAAGUCCAAGUUAUCAGCAAGAAGAAACAUUAUUCAAUUUAUUAAAUAAAAUAAAUGAUUAUAAAGAAUAUAAAUGUUAGUGAGACUAAGGGAUUUUCUUCAAAAAUAUAAGCAAAACGGUCAUACUCUUGAUCUGCAUAGUUAAGGAGAGAUAUCCAAAUAUAUAUAAGAGAAACAGUAGACAUGACCUAAUGCUGUAGAAAUAACACAAGAGAAUAAGAACUGUAGAUACUCAAACAUAAGCGACUCUUAUACUCUAGAAAGAGAAAUGGCUGAAUUCCAGAAGUACAUAAAUUGAGAUUGAAUCAUGGGAAAAAUCUGAGCAGAUAAAAAAUGAAUAAGGUUAUAAAUCAAUAAUUUAAAAACCAGUCAAGAGGGUCCUGUUGACUAUUCUACCAAACAUUUAAAUAAAAAGGUAUGUCAGCACACGGUGAACACAUGUCUCUAAUCCCAGCACAGGAGCAUCGCAGAUUCAAAAACACCCUCUUCUAGUGAGGUCCAGACUUGUCAGUCAGUCAGUCUUCUAUAAGGAGUCACAGCCUAUAGAGGAAGAUCUUGUCUGAAACACAGGCACAGGCACAGGCACAGGCACGGGCAUGGGUACAGGUACAUACACACACACACACACACACACACACACACACACACACACACACACCGACAUGGACACACAGAGACAUGCAUGAGUACACACACUCAUGUGCACAAGUAUACAUACAUGGACAUAAAUAGGAACACAUAUGGACACGCACAUACAUACUUAUUAAUAUUAAUCUUUAAAGGAAGAAAUACCUCCAAACUCCUUUUACGAAACAGGUAUAAGACAGAUAAAAAGAACUACAGAUUGUUAGCCUUGGUGGUGACAGUAACACUCACUCUAAACAAAGCACUUGUGAGUGGAAUUCAAUGGCACAUUGAACGGUCUUUAUCUCUCUGUGAUAACCAGACUCUUCACAUGGUCCAUUCCCUUUCAGCCUUCACUGUCCUCACUCCCACCUCAGAUAAGUUCCAUGUGUUCUAAUAAUCCUUCUGUAAAGGUUACCACACCUUCUCAUCGGCUCUGUUGCUAGUUCUACCAUUGCUCCCUUUGGCCAUCUUAGUCUUGUGACUCCCUCUCCAUCGCCCAUAUUUACUUUGCCUGAUGACUUCCUUUUCUGGACUUCUAUUUUCACUGUCAGUAAACUGUGCUGGUGUCUGCUUACAGUAUAAGUACAUUUACUAGUGGGUAAAUAAACACAGAAUAAUCAGGAUUCCUGGCCCGAGUCACACUUUAAUUUCUGCUAACUUAAUUUCUGUACCCAGCUCGAGUCAGGUUAAAGCCCUCCCAUUUCUUUCAGUCCCACACAGGUACUGAAUCUUCCUUUUAAAAGAAAUCCAUAACAGCAACGUUCUUAAGACUUCUGGUUUAGAGAAAAUAAUGUGGCGUAGGUAUCUUCAGACCCCAUUUGGGCAAUCCUGAGCGUUGGUGAGGCACCAGGUGAGUUCGUCUUUUGUCUUAUGUAAGCAGAGGCUUCCUACACAGAAGAGAACCCACUUCACAGCACUGAGUGUUCUGAUAUUUGACCCCACAGAUAAAUAAGCAUUAAACCCACAGCUGGUCAGCUCAUUGGCUUGCACUUUAGGUAAGAGGCUGGCCACAUGCUCUCCAUCUCCUGGCACACAGAACACCUACCCACCCCGCAGGUCAGAGAUCAUGCCUCUUCUAACACAAGAACCCCAUUUCCCAACCUGUUAACUCACAGAGAAUCCACUGGGGACAUCAGAGACCACGUCUUUCCUUAUACCUGUAGGGAUCACCUCAAUUAUUCUGCGGACAAAUCAAUACCGAUUGCACUCUUAAACUGAACUUUACACUUCACCUCACUGACACCGCAGUAGCCAAGAUGGGGUAGGAGAAGGCAGAGUUCUAAAUGCACACUCAAUACAGAUGGUUCAGACACACGCACGGAAAAACACAACCGCCCGCCGAUUUGCUUCCAGACAUUUAGCUCCUAAUGUGAAAACUCAAGGAACAUUUCUGCUCCCCAAAUUACCAGCCACGUAGUAAUGGUCCCAGUGAGGCUGACUUAGGCAAACUUCAGUGAAUUCAAAGGAACAAUUAUGAACAGGUUCGGAGAAGUCAAAGUGGACAACAACAAACUCCAGGGUGAUUUUAAAGAUGAUGUGAAUAAUUCCUAAGGAAUUCCAAGACGACACAAAUCACUGCUCAGGACUUGUUCCACUGAUGGUGGUGGCUGUGUAUGGUGGUGGCUGUGUCUUCACAGUCACGAUCUCCAUGUCACUUUCAGAAGACAGGGUUUCAUAACACUAUUCCCCAUCACCCAGCUCUGGUCUUUCCACUCCCCUUUCUACCAAUGCUUGAUGGGUCUUAGAGAGAGUGGUAUAGAUAUCUAAUUUAGAAGGGGCCAUUCCUCACUUAUUUUCCUUACUCUGAUAACGUAUGAAUCUCUGCUUAGCCAUCACUGUCUUCUACAGCCAAGACUGAGAGGUGUACCAGUUAGUCUAUAGAUAUGAGAUACAUUAAGAAGAUAGUUUAAUUAAGCACAUUUCCAUUUAGCAAAACAUGAGUCACUGGUCCUACCCUUAGGGCUUGUAAUCUCCCUAGAUACAGGCUUUUGCUAAGGUUUACAGCAAUAGGUGUAUUCUCUUGUAUGGAGUGGGCCUCACGCCCAAUCAGAGCAAUUGGCUACCCCAAGAACAAGCAUACUGUUAUUAUACCAAUGGGCACAUCUUGUUUAGCUGGUCAGUAUCCUUAGCAUGCACAGUCUAUAGCUGGGUAAGAUCCUCAGUGGCUUUUCUCACCCAGCAGCCAGGAUGUUCCUUGCAGUACUGUGAAAAACCACAAAAGAAGCAGCUUCCAGCUUAAAUCCAGCUUGGUUUCCCUAGGUGCUACAGCCAUAGAGUGUAGUGUGUUCAGGAAUAGGGCUUUAUUGUCUAAUUCUGGAGAGCAACCAAGAAUAGCGACAGUAGCUUUUAUUGUUCUUGGAGCUCCUUGGAAAUCCCGGGAAGCAGCACAUAGCAGGAUAUUCCACACCUAGGAUUUUCAUUUACAAGCCUAUAUAGCUUUGUAACAAAGAACAAUUGAGUGUGGUGAAUGAUCUUUUGGAUGUGCUCCUGGGUUUGGUUUGUAUGUGCUUUGUGGAGAAUUCUUGUGUUUAUGUACAACAGGGAGAUUGGUCUAUAGUUUUCUUUUCUUCCUGUUAUUCUUUUUCUUUCCAUUCCCUUCCUUCCUUUUCUUAAUCUCUCUAAUCUCUCUCUCUCUCUCUCUCUCUCUCUCUCUCUCUCUCUUCUCACUAUCUGGUAGUGAAGUACUACUGGCUUUGUAACAGGUUAUGAUAUUGAGGCAGUGCUAAAAUAUUUCUCUUGACUGAAAAAGCCCAAUGACAGAUAGAGUCACUGCAGACUUCUACUGGAUCCUUAAAGAAACAAAAACCAUCACAUAACUAAAUUAAUUUCAAUUGGUUACUACAGAAAAUAGAGAAAAUUGAUUAUAGAAUAUGUUUAGACUAAUCAGAGAAAUAAAUUAUUCAACAUAAAUUAUAAUUAACAGAGGGGCAACCUGAACAACAAACAAACAUAUUUCAGAUAGAUUAAUGAAAAUGAACGGGUGCCACGAAAAAUGUUUUUAAAAGGAAAUGAGAAACGGGUAAAGUGAGCGGACAUCUUAGGGUACACCUGUAAUCUCAACAGUGUGGCGGCCGGGGCAGAAGGAUGGAGCCAUGAAGCGAUGAAGCCUAUGUGGACUAUGUAAUGCACAUCGGGCUAGCCUGGGCUACACAGUGAGAACUUGUCUCAAAACAAAGCAAAAUAGAAAACAGAUUAAAGGUGAGUCAACAGAAGCAAUAUAGAGUGACUAAGAGCUGGAAACAUUGAAAGAAAAGACAUGGUUACAGAUAGGACCCAAUAAAAGUCUCCAGGAUUUUUCCAGAGGUGGAGAAUAGGGAGAAUGAGGAAGGAUAGUUCACAGUUUGGAAUUUACCAGAUUCAACCAAAUAUGAGGAUGCUCAAUAAAGGGACACGUAGCAUCCUGCUUAGAUUACCAAUUAAUUCAUUAAAAAGACAGAUUCUAGUGCAGCAUCCUGCUUAUAUCACAGACAAAGAAAGAAAGAAAAACCACAGAUUUUAACUCAGCAGAAAGACAGGGCAGAUGCUCAGGAAGAAUUAGUCAUCGGGCUGAUAAAGAAUGGACAAAAAGAUAAAUGAUAACAAGUUCAGAGCAAUAGAAAAGAAACAUGAAGUCUCAUUAUCACAAGUUACUGUAAAAGUGUGAGGAAGAGUCAAGUUUUGAGAAACUGACAUCUAGGGAAUUCGUAGUCUAUGUUGGUUUCCGCUGAAAGAAGGAUGGCUAAUCAUUCAUCGUGAAGAAAGCUAAUUCCAGAAAGAAAGACACUUGGCAUAGAAGGCGAAGUCAGCAGGAUCAGCACCCAUAAACACAAAGGCGGCCUCCCUGCUUCAGUACCAGGAGCUGAGCUGUGACCUUUCCCUCAGCCUCUCUCAGCAUCAAAUCUGUCCAUGCUGGAUUCCGUGCCCAGUUGAUUGCUGGGAACCUACGCCUCUGCUACUUAAGAGCCAAGCACUGAGUAUGGACUCACGCCGGACCCGUAUUCUUCUCUCGUUCCCUUCUGUUUUGGGGGGAGGCUGUACAGUUGUUGAUUGGUUGACUGGUUGGUAUAGAUGCAUGCUUGUAUGUUUUCAUUUUUUAAAAAAUGUUUCUGGCAUCAAUUACUGUGAAACAGGGUAAAGAGAUACAUGUGACAGGGAAGCAGAAGGGAAGGUAGGGGCGUGUCUGGCAGGCCAGUGGGGGCGUGCCUAGCAGGCUGGUGGGGGCGUGACUGGCAGGCCAGUGGGGGCGUGUCUAGCAGGUCGGUGGGGGCAUAACUAGGAGGUAAAUGGGAUAAGGGAGGAAAGAGAAACGACAAAAAUGCUCCAAUGAAACCUAAUAGUUUGUAUGCUCAUAAAAAAGAAUAGUUAUGAAACGAAACAUUAAUUACAUAUGAUACAGCAUUUCAGUAACCAUUGGCUGUUAGAACACUAAUCACUGUCAAUUUAAGAUCAUUUUAAACAAGGGAGGACUGUAAAAACAAAGAGAAGUUAAGAAAACGAUCCAUGAGAACUAAGGCAUUCUAAGGUCCUAUGCGAGAAAGACAGAUCAAGAAUGCAUACUAAUAUUUUUAAAAAUGGUCGCCAUAAAUGGGAAUGUUGGGCUUCACAUUGUAGGAGCUCAUCUGGGUAGAAUAAUUUGACCAAUUCGAUGGAGAAGAAUUUAGAAGGUAGAGGAAAAGAAAAUAGUUUAUGGUGAAUAGAAAAUAAAGGUAGAUAACAAAGUCCAGAUAACAAUUUCCUUUAAGUAAAAUGGCGUCCUCUGGGCAUGGUGUAGGUGCAGUCAUGAACUCAAUGCAGCUGGGACUGCUGCAAGAGAGUAGGAGAGUUGGAAGGUGUUCCAUAAACCCCCACUCCUAACUAGACGCUGAAGACAAUUAACUUCUGAGGGCAGGAGAAUCAGUUUUCUCUAAUGGCGUGGCUUCUGGUAGGUCAACCAUGCCAAAGUCUUAAAAAGGCAAUUUGUUACAAUAAUUUUAAAUGGGAAGGAAAUAGAUUGAAAUUAGGAGUUAAUUCACAAUAAGAGAAGUUUUACUUAAAAAUAAAAUGAACAGGGCAAAAGGUAACGGGAAGGACGUGGGCUGGCACACGCACCUCUCACACACAGAUCCUCACAAGGUAUAAAGGGAAUGGAAAGAACUGGAAAAUCUAUAAUUAUCCCAUAAGAUUUCAUUACACCAUUCCAGAAAAUGGAAGAGGUGGGAAGGCCGUGUGAUUAUUGCAGAUAGAAUUAGAUCCUUAACUAACAAUUUACCAUAUGUGUAUCUGGGGAGCAUCUGCAUGUGUGUGAAAAUACGUAAUAUAUAUAUAUGCAUAUAUAUACACAUAUACAUAUAUACACAUAUACACACAUACAUAUACAUAUACAUACAUAUAUGUAUAUAUAUUUAUAUACAUGUACCUACAUAUAAGGAAAGAUAAGAAUUCAGCACUCUAAAGUUACAGAAGUACUCUGUUAAAUCUUACGAAAGAAUACAAGUGUGCUACAUGAGUUUCAUUUAAAGGAAUGAUCAUUUAACAGAAAAGAGCUAGUGCAGCGUGGACUGUAUCCUCUGACAACGAUGCAGUGGAUUUGGAUAGGCGAGAACACAAUUCUUAAGUCUAGAAACAGAAUACAGGUACCUUAGAAGUCUCAUGAUGAAAGAAAAAUUAAUAAGAUUGUAAACCUCUGCCUGGUUGAGCAAGGACACCACUAUUGAAACUUGUGGACAGCUGCUGAGGUAACACAUGCAAACAAAUGUAUAGUCCUACAGGCCAUUGCCAGAGCAGGAACAAAGGAAAGGGGGAAGUAAUAGCUAUUAAGUUAUGGAUCGAGCGAAACAGUAAUAAAGUAAACCCCAUAAAAGUUGGCAUGUGUGUUUGUAUGUAAGUUGUCAAAAUGGGAGAGGAAAAGAUUUAAAGCAUUAAAUAAAAUUAUAUAUGGAAGGACUAGCUCAACUAAUUUGGCCAGAUUGAACCAGAAUAAAAUGGGGGGAGGGGGGAAAUACAGAUAAGGAGAACUAUCUGAACUGCUACUACUGACCAGUGACAGACUACGUGUCCUGCAAAUGCCAGCGGAAUCUAGGCAAUGGAGACCACUGGGCAUAAUCCUGAUACCACGAAAGCGUUUACAAUAUAGACUGGUCUAACAGGAAAUACGAAUUAAGGGGACGAAUCGCUAAACAAUGGAAUCUGCAGGCAGAGAGGCAACCAUCCGACAGUCCGACACAGUUUUACGGUGGCAUUUUAUUUUAUUUUUUUUUAUUUUUUUUUUUCGGAGCUGGGGACUGAACCCAGGGCCUUGCGCUCGCUAGGCAAGCGCUCUACCGCUGAGCUAAAUCCCCAGCCCCUACGGUGGCAUUUUAAAAACCAGCGCGACUCAUCCGUACGUCUGACGUAUUGGUGUGGACUCUGGUAUUCAUGUAACAUGAUGCUAAACCCAGUCUUAGGAAUGAACAGAAAGCUGUCAGUUACGAAUAAAGGACUUCUUGUAGGGCUUCAAAAAAUUUUAAGCUUUGGCAUCUUAAUGGUGUAUGAUUAAUAGAAAAUUAAUAAUCUAAAAAAAUAGUACAAUCAUUUCAAGUUCAUGUAAAAGUCCAGUUUAUCUUUAAAAUGCUUUCAAAAUAGGAUAAACCUUAACUUUCUACUCUGUCACACCAUAACAGAAAUCAUUCACAGAACUAAAAUGCUAAACAGUAAAUUUGUAUUCUUUUUUUAAAAAAAUAAUAAAAAAAGCACAUUUGUCAUUAUCUUUUUUUUCCUUGCCAAUGUCACCAGACCCAGAGAGAUGCUAUUAUAAUAAGCAUCUUUUUGUCCCUGUUACAGAAUAUCGGAGAAAAUUGACUUACAGAGAGAAAACUGGAUUUGGGCUCAUGGUUUCUGAGGCCAGGGUUGGUGUUGCUAGUUCUGUUUGUGCUGAAAUAGGGCAUCAUGGAGGGGAGCAUGUGCCCCAAUCUGCUGCAUAAAGCUUGGCAACCAGGAAGCAGGGAGAGAGAAAGGGCCUUGGACGAGAUAUUCUCCUUAAAGGCCCACAUUCCUCUACGUACAUCUCUCCAACUCUGAACGCAUCAGUGGACUGACCCGUGGUCAGUGGCCUCUCAGGAAUGUCACGUCUGAACUUGGCUGCAUUGAGAAUAAAAUUGCUGUUGUGUAAGUCUUCUAAGGGCUAUUUCGUAUUGAAGCCACAACCUACAUAAUUAGGAUAGAAAAUUGGAAAAAGAGCAACCCUCUUUAUUGGUUCACAAU